GCUGGGCAUGGUGGCGCGUGCCUGUAGUCCCAGCUACUCAGGAGGCUGAGGUGGGAGGAUCUCUUUCUUCAGCCCAGGAGUUCUGAGCUGUAGUGCACCAUGCGAGUUGGGUGUCCACACUAAGUUCGGCAUCAAUAUGGUGACCUCCUGGGAGCAGGGGACCACGAGGUUGCUUAAGAAGGGGUGAACUGGUCCAGGUCAGAAACAGAGCAGGUCAAAACUCUUGUGCUGAUCUGUAGUGGGAUCGCACCUGUGAAUAGCCACUGCACUCCAGCCUGGGCAACAUAGUGAGACCCCGUCUCUA
ensembl:misc_RNA Metazoa_SRP Metazoan signal recognition particle RNA